AUACGGAGGGUGCAAGCGUUACUCGGAAUCACUGGGCGUAAAGCGCGCGCAGGCGGCUAUUUAAGUUGGAUGUGAAAGCCUACGGCUCAACCGUAGAACUGCAUCCAAAACUAUUUAGCUAGAGUGUGGGAGAGGAAGAUGGAAUUAGUUGUGUAGGGGUAAAAUCCGUAGAGAUAACUAGGAAUACCAAAAGCGAAGGCAAUCUUCUGGAACACUACUGACGCUGAGGCGCGAAAGCGUGGGGAGCAAACGGGAUUAGAUACCCCAGAGUCC
rnacentral:rRNA from 1 species